GAAUUUAAUAUAUAUUUAAUAAAUUUAAUAAUUAUUUAUUAAACUAUAUUUUAUUGGGAGGAUAUUUAAAUUUUAUUAACUUUAAUUGAAUUUAUAAUCAUAAAUUAAUGAAUUGAUAGAAUAAUUUAAUCUUUUAAGUUAUUUAAAAAUUAAUUACCUUAGGGAUAACAGCGUAAUAUUAUUGGAAAGAUCAUAUUUAUAUUAAUGUUUGC
rnacentral:rRNA from 1 species